AGGAUAGAUGUGCUGUAUCAACAUCCAUCAUCUCUUUCAUUUUGCGGUCUGUCUGCUGGGCUUGUUGCACUAUCAGACUCUGAACCUUUGGUUCACAAUCAGAAAGUUGCUUAGGUGUAUGCGUGAGUUGUGAUAAACUGACAAGGUUCCUGGUUCCUCCAACACUAUAUUUCCCUGCAGCCCUCCUUCCUGGACCCACAGGCUGAGUCUGUCCGUGCCCCUCACUUUCACUCCAGGUCAUCACACAUACAGAACUUUGG